rnacentral:lncRNA from 1 species
GAGCAUAGUAUCACUUGGAUACUGGAGGAGAAGGACUUCAUUUUUAGAAGCAAUUCAAGGGUGCUGAAUGUCUCCAAAGACAGCAGGAUUGUGAUGAGAGGGAGGAGGUUGAGGAGUCGAUUGUACCAGAUGGAGGGAUCUGUUGUGUCUGAAGAGGUCGAGGUAAUUACUUCAGCCAUAGAGGAUCAGCCAGAGAUCCAGUCAGUACAGAUUGGAUAGUUGAUGGCAUGUUUAUCGAAGUUACCUAUUGUGGGGUCACUGAAUC